rnacentral:lncRNA from 1 species
UUUUAAGCCAUUAGGGUUUAUUCUUGACUCUUGAUUCAUGAUAAGGUACGGUUUAGGAAAUUACAUUUAAAUUACUUUGAAACUCUGAAGCGAUAGAGUAGCCUAAUAGGCUAUAUGUAAAAUUAUUUUAUGCACUUAGGUGAAAAUUGUUUUUCAUUUCUUGAUUAAUAAUUCCUUUUGUAAAACUUACUUGGCAAUAAAUAUCUUUCUGAUUCUGAUUAGGUUUUAAAAUAGAUAUUUAAUUCAUGGUAUGAACAAUUUAGCUGAAUAAAUUGAUGAAGUUAGACUUUUCACUAAUGCCUGGCUACAUCAGUGAACAGUGAAAGACAUCUGCAACAUGGCCAAAAUCUUGGGUAGGUCUAUACUUUAUAAUUUUUAUUAAUUUGCAACCAUGGUAAUAGCCUAUCAUAAACAGGAAAAUCUCUUGUUUUGACCUGAUCAGAAGGAUAAACUAAAAUCUAAAAGCUCCUCUGGUUUCACAGCUGCACUGGCAGAUUUAUGAAAUAUUUAGGAAAUAUUUCGUCUUUCUGCCAUUCCAGGAAAUGUCAUUUUAUGUCUUUCAUUUUUUUCCAACCUCGAUUUUUUUUUUUUUUUUUUUUUUACUUUUUACAUGUAUAAGGGAUUAAUUUGCAAUUGCGACCUGUACAAAUGUUUAAGACAGUAAAACACUUAAAAAAAUGUAAACACAUUAUAAAUGUUAGAAAGUAUAGGUUUUCACCAUUGCUGUGUUCAGGAUUUUUUUUGGGCGGAGUUAAAACGUGGCUCGAUGACGCACUGGAGCCACUGAGCUCCUGGCCCCUCCCCAAACAACAUAACUAGAGCACACAUUCGCGUCAGUUCGCCGUUCAAUCGCGAGUUUCUGUGGACUACCAUCGUUUAAGCGUUGAUUUUUUCUUUUCUUCUAAGAUACGUAUGUUUAUACGAGUAAUGUUGGCAAGAGGCGAUGAGAUAUUUGGUGCGCUUCCAAACAGGUUCUAGCGUUGAAACGACGGACGAUGACAAGAAGAGAAAGAGAAAGAGAAUCUCAAAUUCCAAGUACAGACCCCAGGCCUCUUCUGAUGAAGAGGAGUCUAGUCUUCCAGAUGCACCAGCAGUGCUGUCGUUUGGACAACCUCUUUUGAGCUUUGAAAACAUUGUUCCUGAUUUCCAGAGACUCCAGAAUGAAAAACAAGCCGUGAUGGAGGAGAACCAAGCCCUUAGGGAGGAGAACCAAGCUCUGAGGGAGGAGAACCAAGCUCUGAGGGAGGAGAACCAAGCUCUGAGGGAAAGCACUGCACGAGCAGCUUCGGAUGACAGCGGCUCACUUCAAGAGCAGGUGAAGCAAGUUGGGACAAUGUUGAAGACGUUUGCUCGCACUGGGCAAUCAGGUGCAGAUCAGACCUUAAUGCUGCGACGUCUUGGAGAGUUUGGCGAUGUUGUGCGUAGCAUGGACAACAAAAUGGACACUAUGCUGCAACAUUUCAGUGCCAAUGUGUCUGUUGGAGAGUUAUCCCUGCCAGGGGAUCUGUUACUCCCCCUAGACACCCAGGAAGAUUUGGCGUUGCUUGACAACAGUUUGAGGCAGGAUAAAGAGCUCCAGGAACGAUUUCUUCGGUUUUUGGCAAUCAAAUGUGGGAGGGACCUAAAGACAACCGUCUGGCGGAUGCUUCAAAGUAUCUUCUCUAAUCACCUUCCAUCAAUACAACCUGGACUGGAGUUGGGGAUAAAGCAUGUUUUAGAGACAUGUUCCUGA